CUUAAGUAUAUUUUAAAACCAAAUACUGUUAGACAUUUACUCAAGUAGUAUUUUACUGGGUGAAUUUCACUUACUAUUUUCUAUUAAGGUAUCUUUACUUUUACUCAAGUAUGACAAUUGGGUACUUUUCCACCGCUGGUUGUUGAUCCAUCCUCAGUUUUCUCUUAUCACAGCUGUACCUGUUUUAAAGUCACCAUUACCCUUAUGGUCAAAUCCCUGAGCGGUUUCCUUCCUCUCCGGCAACUGAGUUAGGAAAGACGCCUGUAUCUUUGUAGUGACUGGAUGUUGUGUCAGGGCUCCCAAGUGGCACAGCAGUCUAGCCGGGGUAGGCCGUCAUUGUAAAUAACAAUUUGUUCUUAACUGACUUGCCUAGUUUAAAUAAAGGUUAAAUAAAAAAGUAUUGUUACACAAUCCAAAGUGUAAUUAAUAUCUUCACCGUGUUCAAAGGGAUAUUCAAUGUCUGCUUUUACAUUUUGUACCAUCUACCAAUAGGUGCCCUUCUUUGCGAGGCAUUGGAAAACCUUCCUGGUGUUUUGUGGUUAAAUCUGUGUUUGAAAUUCACUGCUCGACUGAGGGACCUUACAGAUAAUUGUGUGUGUGUGGGGAACAGAGAUGAGGUAGUCAUUAAAAAAUCAUGUUAAACACUAUUAUUGCACACAGAGUGAGUCUAUGCAACUUAUUAUGUGACUUGUUAAGCACAUUUGUAAUCCUGAACUUAUUUAGGCUUGCCAUAACAAAGGUGUUUGUGUACUUAUUGACUCAAGACAUUUCAGCUUUUCAUUUUUUAAAUUAAUUUGUAAGCAUUUUCCAAAAAACAUAAUUCAACGUUGACAUUGUGGGGUAUUGUGUGUAGGCCAGUGACCCCAAAAAAAUCUAAAUUCAAUAAAUUACAAAUUUGGGAUGUAACACAACAAAAUAUAGGUAGCUAGCUAGCUAUCUUUUGAUCUAGCGAGCCAGGCUAGCUAGCUAGAUACCUCAUUUGAACGUUUUACAAAUUUGGGAUGUAACACAACAAAAUAUAGGUAGCUAGCUAGCUAUCUUUUGAUCUAGCGAGCCAGGCUAGCUAAUGUCUAUACCUCAUUUGAACGUAGUUAGGUCGUAGCUCAUACAAGUUUAUUGUGUAUUAUCUAGAUACUGCUGGUUAUGGAACGUUAUCAUUUGAUAAUGCUAGCAAGGCAGGCUGGCUACAGGCUAGCUAACGUUCGUUAACUAGCUAGCUAAUGUUAGCCUACAAGUCGUAUUUGCAAGUUAUUUUGUAGCUCAUACAGGUGUAUUCCGUUUUGUUUAGGGCAAAACUUAAUAAUGGAUGUAGCUAACUCAUGUCUGAGUCUGACUAAUACAGUGAACUAUUGGUGCUUUCAAGGGAGGGGAAAAAACUAGGUCAAAUCAUGACUUUAGUGAUCUUCAGAUCGGAAAGUCAGAGCACUAGAAAAAUGCCUGAGUUUGCAACUUGGAAUUUCGAGUUGGAAUAGCGUUCAAAAUUACAUUUCCCAAUCAGAGCUCAUUUUUGUCCACACACCCACUAAUGAAUUUCUGGCUACACCACUGAGGUUAUAGGCAUAAGGUUAACUGUGUGGUUAAGGUUAGGUUUAAAAUCACAUUUAAGAAGAGCAAUUGUAGAAAUAGGCGGCCUAUAUGACUUUGUGGCUGUAACUAGUGACGACCUAGAAUUAUCUUGACCGAGUUACUGCCCUGAUGACACAGACGGCUUCAUCAACAACGACCCUACCAGUCAACACCACCUCGUAAGAUGACGAAGUACAUUGCCUGCUGCAGUUGUUCGAGAGAGGUCCAGUUUCAUGCAACAUAGAAAAGACCAGCAAGGGGACCCUCAGAAACACACAGACAUGCCCUUCCUGUGAGCAUUCCUAUAAAUGGAACAGUGUCGACACUUGAAUCAGUAUCUUUGAGGGGCCAGGAGCUCAUCUACGCUGCCAUGCCCAUCAAUGGGGCGCUGGCAAAGAACUUACCUCCAGCCUCACUUCUUGCCUGCUUACUAAUGGUCAUCAAUGGAGAGAUGCAUCUAUUGACCCAGCACUAGGAGACUUGCAAGAUGAUGUGAUGAAGUCCAGACUGACAUACGGGCUUCAUACUGAUGUCUCUAAAUGGAGAGAGACCUGACACAGCAUGAACAUUUUACUAGACAAAUUUUACUAGUUGUCUUUUUUUAUUAUUGAAUUGUAUCAGUCAAUAUGGGGAGGGAGAAACCCAGUGUAUUCUGCACCAGGAUCAGGUAACUCCUGGUGUAUACAGGACACCAUAUAGGAAGGUAUGACCACUCUGACAUGUUUACCAAGGUAGCCCAAUUAUCACCAGACAAAAUGUUGAUAGGCACAGUAUCUGUAUCGGCAGGGAAUGACAAUGAAUGAUGAAAGGUGCACCUUGUUAUAUUAGCAGGACACUGAUUCUAUGGUUUUAUGUAAAUGGUUGUUUAUUCUACAUGGACCUGUUACUACAUUUGAAUGUUAUCAAAACACUUAGUUUAGAAUAUCUACAUACAUUAUUUUUAUUUACCUUUAUUUAACUUGGCAUUCUUAUUUACAAUGACGGCCUACCAAAAUGCCUCCUGCGGGGAAGGAGGCUGCAAUUAUUAUUAUUAAAAGAAUAAUUAAACACGCAUCAUGACGAGAGACAACACAACACUACAUAAAGCGAGACCUAAGACAACAACAUAGCAUGGCAGCAACACAUGAAAACAAAGCAUGGUAGCAACACAACAUGACAACAACAUGGUAUCAACACAGCAUGGCAGCAGCACAACAUGGUAGCAGCACAAAACAAGGUACAAACAUUAUUGGGCACAGACAACAGCACAAAGGGCAAGAAGGUAGAGACAACAAUACAUCAUGCAAAGCAGCCACAACUGCCAGUAAGAGUGUCCGUCUUUG
ensembl:lncRNA